CAAGCCUAUAAUCCCAGCACUUUGGGAGGCCGAGGCAGGUGGAUCACGAGGUCAAGAGAUCGAGACCAUCCUGGUCAACAUGGUGAAACCCCGUCUCUACUAAAAAUGCAAACAAAAUUAGCUGGGCAUGGUGGCAUGUGCCUGUAAUCCCAGCUACUCAGGAGGCUGAGGCAGGAGAAUUGCCUGAAUCCAGGAGGCGGAGGUUGUGGUGAGCCGAGGUUGCACCAUUGCACUCCAGCCUGGAUAACAAGAGCGAAACUCCAUCUCAGAAAAAAAAAAAAUAGGUAAAGUGUUUAGAAUAGUGCCUAUUACUGAGUAGGUGCCAUAGAAAGAUUUACAAUCAUUAUUUUUAUUGUUAGGUAUCUAUAUAUUUAUAUGUGUAUUACAGUUUUCUAAAAGUACUUCUUUUCCUCUCCACAAUGAUUACAUCUCUUCUUUCUAACUCCAGGGUUACAAGCUGGAAAAGGGGAGAAAUGAAUCAUGCUACGAUUCCCAGAGAUGCCCUUUGUGAGGAGACAGAUGAAUUUUUAUCUGCACUCACUAUGCUUAAGAUUUACGAGAACACAAGCACGACUAGACAAACUCUCCUGUGAAAUUCACCUGAAUGUGAUAAAGAACUCUGCCGCUCAGUGGUAGGGCUCAAAAAAACAGUACCACACAAUGGAGGCCUCAGAAGCAAACAUCUUUCUGUGACUUUCUCCUACCCUUCUGCCUCUGACCCCUCAUUCUUCCCUGAGUCUACCCAUAGAAACUAGAAUCUCUCUUCCCCAAGGCAGGACAUGGAAACCAGAACUCUUUUUCCCCAAAGCCAGCCAUCAAGGCUAAAAAUAGUAUUAUAACUUCCCUCUACCUUUCUGUGUAAAAACUGGCCAUGAAGAAAUUAUCUAACCCAUAUUGUUUGAUUAUUGGUCAUAAAACCCUAAUUCCAGAGGACCCUACCCCAUACCGAGAAGGAGGAACUACUGUGCAGAGAGUCUAAGAAGAAUCUAGACAGACAGCCCUCACUGGAUUUCUCCACUUCGCCUAUUAGCAUUCAAUCAUAUGCCUUUUGUCCAGUCAUAUUUCUACAGGGCUGUCCAUACUUUGUUGAACCUUAGCACAAAAUGGAAAGUUUCCCCUGUGUCUUUGGGUCUUCAUUCUGAAGGAUCCCAUGUUAUAUAAAACAAUGAUCAAAUAAAUACGCACGCCUUUCCUCCUAU
rnacentral:lncRNA from 13 species